AGUGAACGCUGGCGGUAGGCCUAACACAUGCAAGUCGAACGGCAGCACAGUAAGAGCUUGCUCUUACGGGUGGCGAGUGGCGGACGGGUGAGGAAUACAUCGGAAUCUACUUUUUCGUGGGGGAUAACGUAGGGAAACUUACGCUAAUACCGCAUACGACCUACGGGUGAAAGCAGGGGAUCUUCGGACCUUGCGCGAUUGAAUGAGCCGAUGUCGGAUUAGCUAGUUGGCGGGGUAAAGGCCCACCAAGGCGACGAUCCGUAGCUGGUCUGAGAGGAUGAUCAGCCACACUGGAACUGAGACACGGUCCAGACUCCUACGGGAGGCAGCAGUGGGGAAUAUUGGACGAUGGGCGCAAGCCUGAUCCAGCCAUACCGCGUGGGUGAAGAAGGCCUUCGGGUUGUAAAGCCCUUUUGUUGGGAAAGAAAAGCAGCAGGUUAAUACCCCGCUGUUCUGACGGUACCCAAAGAAUAAGCACCGACUAACUUCGUG
rnacentral:rRNA from 1 species